GACGAACGCUGGCGGCGUGCCUAAUACAUGCAAGUCGAACGCACAGUUUAUACCUUAGCUUGCUACACCAUAGACUGAGAGUUGCGAAAGGGUGAGUUACGCGUAGCUAACCUGCCUGGUAGCGGGGGAUAACUAUUGGUAACGAUAGCUAAUACCGCCUACUAUUAAUUAUUGCAUGAUAAUUAAUUGCAAGGUGCAAUUGCACCACUACCAGAUGGCUCUGCGUUGUAUUAGUUAGUAGGUGAGGUAACGGCUCACCUAGGCGACGAUACAUAGCCGACCGGAGAGGGUGAGCGGCCACACUGGGACUGAGACACGGCCCAGACUCCUACAGGAGGCAGCAGUAGGGAAUCUGCGGCAAUGGACGAAAGUCUGACCGAGCAACGCCGCGUGAGUGAAGAAGGUUUUCGGAUCGUAAAGCUCGGUUGUAAGGGAAGAACGGGUGUGAGAGUGGAAAGUUCACACUGUGACGGUAUCUUACCAGAAAGCGACGGCUAACUACGUG
rnacentral:rRNA from 1 species